rnacentral:lncRNA from 1 species
AAAAUAAAUCCUUAAAAAUUUUUAUUUAACCCCUUUUUCAGAUCAAUUAAUUCACUUAAAAGCCGGUCAACAUUCGAUAUGGUGUUUCCUAUAAUGCAACAAGUAGCACACAAAAUGUAUAUGAUGGUCCCAAAAGGUGAAACCUGACCUAGACGGACCCGACCUCAGGGUCGAGCCCCACUAAGUCAAAAUACACAUGAUACAAAUAGAUCGCAGUCUAUUAGGGAUAGCCAUGUUCAAGUCCAGUUAUGUUAGGUUUAAUCUGGUGGAAUCGGGUAUCUAGACUGUCAAUUAAAACGAGCGGACCGCUCGAGUUGGCAAGGGACAGCUUUACCGGUAGCAGGGCUUUCCGGCCUCACUGUUGGUCCCUUUCCGUCCUAAGUCAUGGGUGACUACAGAAUCCUUCCCAGGAGCGUUGCCGCAUCUCUGGUAUCUCAAGCUCGGGAGCGUAUACCGCAUCUCCGAAUAUACAGUAUCUCAGAAGACUCAGAUGGGUGUGCGAGAGAAGACAAUUUAUAUUGCAAUUCAAAUAAUAUCAAAGCGAUAAACAUGCAGGCAAAGAA